rnacentral:rRNA from 1 species
AAUAUUGCGCAAUGGACGGAAGUCUGACGCAGCGACGCCGCGUUAGCGAUGAAGGCCUUCGGGUCGUAAAGCUCUGUCCUUGGGGAAGAAGGCGAAAUCGUGACGGUACCCAAGAAGAAAGCCCAGGCUAACUACGUGCCAGCAGCCGAGGUAAUACGUAGGGGGCGAGCGUUGUCCGGAAUUACUGGGCGUAAAGGGUGCGUAGGCGGCCCUUUAAGUCAGGUGUGAAAGCCCACGGCUUAACCGUGGGAUUGCAUUUGAAACUGGAAGGCUUGAGUAUCGGAGAGGGUAGUGGAAUUCCCAGUGUAGCGGUGAAAUGCGUAGAUAUUGGGAGGAACACCAGUGGCGAAGGCGCCUACCUGGACGAAAACUGACGCUGAUGCACGAAAGCUAGGGGAGCAAACA